rnacentral:rRNA from 1 species
GCAAGUCGAACGAUCUCAACCUUCGGAUUGAAGAAAGUGGCAAAAAGGCGAGUAACACGUAAGAAACAUGCCCCGAAGACGAGGAUAACUAUUGGAAACGAUAGCUAAUACUGGAUAGCACAUAAAACCGCAUGGUUUAAUGUCUAAAGGCGCGUAUGCGUCGCUUCGGGAUGGUCUUGCGCUGUAUUAGUUAGUUGGUGAGGUAAUGGCUCACCAAGACGAUGAUACAUAGCUGGUCUGAGAGGAUGAAC